GACGAACGCUGGCGGCGUGCUUAACACAUGCAAGUCGAACGGUAAGGCCCUUCGGGGUACACGAGUGGCGAACGGGUGAGUAACACGUGGGUGAUCUGCCCUGCACUUCGGGAUAAGCCUGGGAAACUGGGUCUAAUACCGGAUAGGACUCCGGACUGCAUGGUCUGGGGUGGAAAGCUUUUGCGGCGUGGGAUGGGCCCGCGGCCUAUCAGCUUGUUGGUGGGGUGAUGGCCUACCAAGGCGACGACGGGUAGCCGGCCUGAGAGGGUGACCGGCCACACUGGGACUGAGAUACGGCCCAGACUCCUACGGGAGGCAGCAGUGGGGAAUAUUGCACAAUGGGCGCAAGCCUGAUGCAGCGACGCCGCGUGAGGGAUGACGGCCUUCGGGUUGUAAACCUCUUUCAGCACAGACGAAGCGCAAGUGACGGUAUGUGCAGAAGAAGGACCGGCCAACUACGUGCCAGCAGCCGCGGUAA
rnacentral:rRNA from 1 species